rfam:Streptosporangium subroseum strain CGMCC 4.2132 genome assembly, contig: Ga0079903_1004
CAGCGUGCUCCGGGGUCGGUGAAAGUCCGAACCGGCGGUUACAGUCCGCGACCCGGUCGAUGCCAUCGACCGGUUGACCUGGUGAAAUUCCAGGACCGACGGUUAAAGUCCGGAUGGGAGGAAGCGCGCGA